rnacentral:rRNA from 1 species
CACGUAGGGCGCAAGCGUUGUCCGGAAUUACUGGGCGUAAAGCGUGCGUAGACGGUUAUGUAAGUCGGGUGUGAAAGCCCCGGGCUCAACCUGGGAAUGCCAUUCGAGACUGCAUAGCUAGGGUGCGGAAGAGGGAAGCGGAAGUUUCCGGUGUGAGCGGUGAAAUGCGUAGAUAUCGGAAGGAACACCAGUGGCGAAAGCGGCUUCCUGGUCCAGCACCGACGUCAGGCACGAAAGCGUGGGGAGCAAACAGG